CUCCUGAUCUCACGUGAUCCACCUGCCUCGGCCUCCCAAAGAGUGUUUUUACAGGCUCCAUUCCUUAUUCCUGGAGUCAUCUUAGGGAAAUUUUCUGACAUUUUAUUGCCUUAGAACUCUCAUCUGUAAAGUAGAGAGAAAGAUGCCUCACUUGCUUGCUGAGGACUAAUGAGAUACAAUUUUGAGAAUUCAUUUUUUUCAUCCCAAUGAUUUUCACCAACCAUGAUCAUGCUAAAUUUGUCUCACUCAAAACCAGGCAUAAUGUAAUGCUGUUAAGAACAUAUUAUUCUAAUAUUCGGUCCAGAAUUCCUCUCUGUGAACCGUUUCUGUUUAGAAUCUGUGUUCAUAAAUGCUGGGAGUGUGUCAGCUGGUGACUUCAGAGGAAAGGGGAACCACUACACAUGAGGUAAAAGGAGGAAUGUGUUGUUUUGCUACUGAGAAGGACUGGGGAGGGGAGUGGAAUAAAAGGUGGGAGCAGAGAAGAGACAGGCCAGCAAAAUCAAAAAGCAGGUGCUGCAGAGAAAGAGCCAGGAGAGAAACUUCUGGUGGUGAGUGAUAAAAAUGGACUUGGGGGACAGGACAAUAUAAUAAGUGAUGAGCUUUUGCCCCCCGUCUCUCCAGUCAUCAGGAAAGUCUAUUGUGCUUAUAAAUGCUUUGUUUCAAUUUUCAGCAAACACAGUAAAGGAGCUGUUUUAUAUCUGGUAGCACCUCAUGUUGACCCCAAUAUAAACGAGAAACAAGAGCCCAAGAAGCAGAGGAAGUUAGGAGAUAGUAAGCUGUCCAGAAAUUAGCCAACGACUGUGGAAUGGCUCUAGACUUCUGUAGCAAAUGGAAAUAUGAGUCUUGGCAGCUCUUUGGGGGAUGGAAGAAGACCAUGAAGCUCUAAGUGCUUCAGAGGAAUGGGGUUGCCAAAACAGAUGUGAGAGGCCCAGAGAGGAGGCUGGGCCAAUGCUGAAGGGUAUUAUUUUGGGGCUGAGUGCAGAAAUAAGAGAUGCGUGCUAAAAGGUCAUCGGUUUAGAACCAGCCCUAGAUCUCCUGGGAUCCUGCCCAGCUGAAUCUUCCUCCUUGUAACAUGGGCUUUGGGAAUUUGUGAGAGAUUUAAAUAAAGAUUUACUAAAGCAAUGUCUUCAAAGAGGUGUUUAAGAAGGAGAGGUUGGUCGGAACCAGAAAAUGCAUUCCUGGGAUGAUCUUUGGGAUACACCCAACUGACCCUCUGAAAAGGCACAACAUUUGUCAACUCAACACUCUUCAGACUUUAUCAAUAACAAAAAGUUGCUAAUGCUUGAUGAGAUGAUGAGUGAGAAGGUGGGAGGCAGAAGCAGCCAACAGAGAAGACAAAGGAUCUAAGAAAAUGAGAGAGAAAGAAAGGAGAAAAAUAUGUAGAAAUUUCAAGUUGAUGAUAACAUUCUAAGACCAGAUGAACACUUACUUUAUUUUCUGGAAAAGAAUCAUUGACCUCAUGAAACACAUUGUGAAUGUGUUUUUUUCUUCCUGACUCAACCUAUGAACAGGACAUUGAAUUCAAGAUUGACUACAAAGUUAAUAAUUACAUAAAAUUAUAUAAAAUAAAAGUACGAAGGCAAUAAUAAUAUAAGUAAAUAUAAGAUAACUAUGUAUAACUAUAUGUACAACUAUAUAUACAUAGUUUGUAACUAUGUCUACAAGCUGAGAACAGUCUGGUAGUAAAGAUGUGCCAAUAUAAGAAAGUUCUAUUUGAUGUUGACCAUGACAAGGCACACUUCAUCCCGAAGGCAUUUUUGACGGUAAAUCUAAACAGCCUGUUUUCUUUUUCAAAGAGUUUACUGGUGAGCAGCCAGACAUUUGAAAAUAGUUUCUGUUUUUCCACAGCUUGAAGAUCGAAUCAGAAAAAGUAGUACAAUCAUUUU
rnacentral:lncRNA from 1 species